rnacentral:misc_RNA from 1 species
GGAAAUUGUUUUAUCUUUCUACUAGCUCUGAAUUCUUUCUUAAGGCAAAAUUGACAUGGCAAUAGGGUGUUGUGUCCUUUAUUUCAAUGACAGUAACAACUGGUGUAUUUUUCUAGCCUGAUACAUCUUUAUGCAGAAGUAAUAAUGACAAGCUUUUUGAAAUGUCAUUAGAGAUGCUAAAUUCUAGGUAUUUUCAUGAUCAUACUUUAAUAACUACUGUGAAGCAUACAUGCCUCUCUUUUUCUUCCCAUGUAAUUUGGAUUUAAUUGUCUUGAUAGAACAAUGAUUUGGGGUGGCACUCUG